GAUGAACGCUGGCGGCGUGCCUAACACAUGCAAGUCGAGCGAUCUUCUUCGGAAGAGAGCGGCGGACGGGUGAGUAACGCGUGGGUAACCUGCCCUGUACACACGGAUAACAUACCGAAAGGUAUGCUAAUACGAGAUAAUAUACAUUUAUCGCAUGGUAGAAGUAUCAAAGCUCCGGCGGUACAGGAUGGACCCGCGUCUGAUUAGCUAGUUGGUAAGGUAACGGCUUACCAAGGCGACGAUCAGUAGCCGACCUGAGAGGGUGAUCGGCAACAUUGGAACUGAGACACGGUCCAAACUCCUACGGGAGGCAGCAGUGGGGAAUAUUGCAAAAUGGGCGAAAGCCUGAUGCAGCAACGCCGCGUGAGCGAUGAAGGCCUUCGGGUCGUAAAGCUCUGUCCUCAAGGAAGAUAAUGACGGUACUUGAGGAGGAAGCCCCGGCUAACUACGUGCCAGCAGCCGCCGUAA
rnacentral:rRNA from 1 species